rnacentral:rRNA from 2 species
ACGGAAGGCAGCAGUGGGGAAUAUUGCACAAUGGGGGAAACCCUGAUGCAGCGACGCCGCGUGAGUGAAGAAGUAUUUCGGUAUGUAAAGCUCUAUCAGCAGGAAAGAAAAUGACGGUACCUGACUAAGAAGCCCCGGCUAACUACGUGCCAGCAGCCGCGGUAAUACGUGGGGGGCAAGCGUUAUCCGGAUUUACUGGGUGUAAAGGGAGCGUAGACGGCUUUGCAAGUCUGAAGUGAAAGCCCGGGGCUCAACCCCGGAACUGCUUUGGAAACUGUAGAGCUAGAGUGCAGGAGAGGUAAGUGGAAUUCCUAGUGUAGCGGUGAAAUGCGUAGAUAUUAGGAGGAACACCAGUGGCGAAGGCGGCUUACUGGACUGUAACUGACGUUGAGGCUCGAAGGCGUGGGGAGCAAACAGGAUUAGAUACCCUGGUA